CCUCACUCAUGGUCCAGACUUUUUUCAAAUAGGACAUGUAGUUUGUCUGCAGCGAGUGUUUUGGUAGAAACUGCGCCUCCCAUUCAUUAUAAUGGGAAAUGACCACAGACAAGUGCGCACACCAUCUUUGGACCUUGAGUGUGACGCGAUCGGGAGGGGGAGGCGGUCGCACUGGGGGCGGCGCAACGCGGCUCGGGCCCGCCAGUGCCCCAACGGGGCCCUAGUUAUUAUUAUUUUUCCUCCCCUUUGAACUGGAAAAUGGCCCACUUCCCACUGGCGAAAACUCAUGAAAUUUGGCAGGACGACCAGGCCUGGUGAAAAAUUUGAUAUUCCGAAGUCGCCCAAACAAGAAAAUGCAAAAUGGCUCCAUAGCGCCCCCUAAGGUGAAAAUUCACACUAUUCACUGUCACGCCUGUACGCUUUGUCAAAAUGACACAAAAAUUGACACACACAUGUAUCUCAAUAAGAUCUACAAAAAAGUCAGUGCGGGCGUAUCUGUCAAAUGUACGGUUAAAGGGUUAUUUCGCAUUUUUUGCCGAUCCGCACACAUUGGAAUUUCGCUAACUCCUCCGAAGGCUUUCGUUCCACCGGCACCACAUUUGCUCAGGCCAAUCUACACCCCAUGGCCAUUAAAAGUUAUUCAAAUCAUGACGCUGCACCCCACGGUUUAAGUUCUAGGGGGCGCCAAAGAUAACCCUAAGAUCCACAUAUUUAAAAGUCUUAUAACUUUUUAUUUUUGCCCUCACUGGCCUCCAAGUUUUCUAGGAUGAUGCAAUGUCCAGCCAUCAACACAUUUGUGAAGGAAUUUUUACUCCCCAAAAGAGCGCCCCCCCAUGGCAGGAGAAAAAAGUCCAUUUUUUCUUGUCCCCUAAGGUGAAAAUACACAUUGUUGAGUGUAACACCUGUACGCUUUGGCAAAAUGACACAAAAAUUGACACACACAUGUAUCUCAAUAAGAUCUACGAAAAAGUCAAUGCGUGCGUAUCUGUCAAAUGUACGGUUAAAGGGUUAUUCCGCAUUUUUUGCCGAUCCGCACACAUUGGAAUUUCGCUAACUCCUCCGAAGGCUUUCGUUCCACCGGCACCACAUUUGCUCAGGCCAAUCUACACCCCAUGGCCAUUAAAAGUUAUUCAAAUCAUGACGCUGCACCCCACGGUUUAGGUUCUAGGGGGAGCCAAAGAUAACCGUAAAAUCCACAUAUUUAAAAGUCUUAUAACUUUUUAUUUUUGUCCCCACUGGCCUCCAAGUUUUCUAGGAUGAUGCAAUGUCCAGCCAUCAACACAUUUGUGAAGGAAUUUUUACUCGGCAAAAGAGCGCCCCCCAUGGCAGGAGAAAAAAGUCCAUUUUUUCUUGUCCACUAAGGUGAAAAUACACAUUGUUGAGUGCUACGCCUGUAUGUUUUGUCGUAUUGACACAAAAUUUUACAUACACGUGUAUUUCAAUAAGAUCUUCGAAAAAGUCAAUGGCCACGUAUCUGUAAAAUGUACGGUUAAAGGGUUAUUUCGCAUUUUUUGCAGAUUCGCACACAUUGGAAUUUCGCUUAUUCCUCCGAAGGCUUUCGUUCCACCGGCACCACAUUUGCUCAGGCCAAUCUACACCCCAUGGCCAUUAAAAGUUAUUCAAAUCAUGACGCUGCACCCCACGGUUUAGGUUCUAGGGGGCGCCAAAUAUAACCCUAAAAUCCACAUAUUUAAAAGUCUUAUAACUUUUUAUUUUUGUCCUCACUGGCCUCCAUGUUUUCUAGGAUGAUGCAAUGUCCAGCCAUCAACACAUUUGUGAAGGAGUUUUUUCUCUUUAAAAGAGCGCCCCCCAUGGCAGGAGAAUAAAGUCAAGUUUUUCCUGUUCAUCAUUCAAUGGCUCAAACGCACUGCUCUCUCGGCAAAACCGAAAGGAGGAGCAACUUGCCAUUUGGAUAUAUCUUAGCUGUGUUUGUGCCCUCACUCAUGGUCCAGACUUUUUUCAAAUAGGACAUGGAGUUUUUCUGCAGCGAGCGUUUUGGUAGAAACUGUGCCUCCCGUUCAUUAUAAUGGUAAAUGACCACAAACAAGUGCGCACACCAUCUUUGGACCUUGAGUGUGACGCGAUCGGGUGGGGGAGGCGGUCGCGCUGGGGGCGGCGUGACACGGCUCGGGCCCGCCAGUGCCCCAACGGGGCCCUAGUUCUUUGUUUCUUUCUUUCUUUUUUCUUUUUCCUCCCCUUUGAACUGGAAAAUGGCCCACUUCCCACUGGCAAAAACUCAUGAAAUUUGGCAGGACGACCGGGCCUGGUGAAAAAUUCGAUAUUCUGAAGUCGCCCAAACAAUAAAAUGCAAAAUGGCUCCAUAGCGCCCCCUAAGGUGGAAAUUCACACUAUUGACUGUCACGCCUGUACGCUUUGUCAUAUUGACACAAAAAUUGACACACAUAUGUAUCUUAAUAAGAACUACAAAAAAGUCGGUGCGGCCGUAUCUGUCAAAAUUACGGUUAAAGGGUUAUUUCGCAUUUUUUGCCGAUCCGCACACAUUGGAAUUUCGCUAACUCCUCCGAAGGCUUUCGUUCCACCGGCACCACAUUUGCUCAGGCCAAUCUACACCCCGUGGCCAUUAAAAGUUAUCAAAAUCAUGACGCUGCACCCCAAGGUUUAGGUUCUAGGGGGCGCCAAAGAUAACCCUAAAAUCCACAUAUUUAAAAGUCUUAUAACUUUUUAUUUUUGCCCUCACUGGCCUCCAAGUUUUCUAGGAUGAUGCAAUGUCCAGCCAUCAACACAUUUGUGAAGGAAUUUUUACUCCCCAAAAGAGCGCCCCCCAUGGCAGGAGAAAAAAGUCCAUUUUUUCUUGUCCCCUAAGGUGAAAAUUCACACUAUUGACUGUCACGCCUGUACGCUUUGUCAAAAUGACACAAAAAUUGACACACACAUGUAUCUCAAUAAGAUCUACGAAAAAGUCAAUGCGCGCGUAUCUGUCAAAUGUACGGUUAAAGGGUUAUUCCGCAUUUUUUGCCGAUCCGCACACAUUGGAAUGUGGCUAACUCCUCCUAAGGCUUUCGUUCCACCGGCACCACAUUUGCUCAGGCCAAUCUACACCCCAUGGCCAUUAAAAGUUAUUCAAAUCAUGACGCUGCACCCCACGGUUUAGGUUCUAGGGGGCGCCAAAGAUAACCCUAAAAUCCACAUAUUUAAAAGUCUUAUAACUUUUUAUUUUUGUCCUCACUGGCCUCCAAGUUUUCUAGGAUGAUGCAAUGUCCAGCCAUCAACACAUUUGUGAAGGAAAUUUUACUCCCCAAAAGAGCGCCCCCCCAUGGCAGGAGAAAAAAGUCCAUUUUUUCUUGUCCCGUAAGGUGAAAAUACAUAUUGUUGAGAUUCACGCCUAUACGCUUUGUCAUAUUGACACAAAAUUUGACAAUCACGUGCCUUGCCUGGUAUCAUUUUUUUCAGCACAACCUCACCUGUGCGAAUUUACAGUUAUUUUAUCAUGUUGACAUACUGAAUUUACACAAUGGACCCAAAUUCACACACAAAACAUAAAAUCCGAGUGGAAAAAAGUAACAUUUUUACUGUGAAAACCACAAAUAUGUGUGAUGAACUGUUUUUAAAACUUAAACUUCAAAUAAAAAUUGUAAACUUCAAAACAUAUGCAAAUUUUUAACAAAGAACAUAGUGAUUUACCUCUAUUUACAUCAAAAUGCAGGCAAUGGCCCAGGCGUUCUUUGUAAAAUUAUUUACAAAACACUGUAUAGUCUCACAAAUGUCACUUUUUAUUUAUGCCACUACAAAAAAACAUGAUGUAAAUGAUGCAUGAUGUAAAACAUGAUGUAAAAAACUUGUGUAGAUCCUCCUCUAUGUCAGUCCAUGUGUAAUUUUUCCAUAAUUCUUUGUUUUUUGCAGCAUUUUUGUUAGUGUAACUGCAGAUUGUGCUGACAGUGUCUAUGGCACAAAAAAAAAAAAAAUAAAAUGCCUCAACAUGAACCCCUGGUGGUCUCUGAGGGUGAAACCUGCUAACUGCUGCAGCUCUGUCAGCUUCAGUCUCCCAUGCAGAGCUCUGAGCGCAUGUGUGGCUCUGCACCCUUAGCAGCGUUGCUAACUCCUCAGUAAGGAAAGCCUGCUUCAUGUCAGAGUCUCUAAACUCCAGAAGAAGUCGAUAAAAGUCCCUUUCUUUCUAAAAAAAGUCGUUAGGGGGUCUGAAAAGUCAUUGAAUCUAACAACAAAGUCGCUAGGUUUGCAACUACGUGUCCCAGACUGCAUCCCUGCUGAGAGUCCCUCCCUCGCUUCUCAUGUUGCAGGAAGAACGUAAGCGCCCGCCCCUUGUCAAUCAGUCACCAUAUAAUUUUGGAUUGGUUGUUGUGGUGAAGUUUUCCACCAAUAGGAGAGAUGUUGUGGUGUGUUUUUUUUUUCUUUUGGCAAGCCUUUUCCGCCUGUAAGACCUGUCGCUAAUGUCUGCAUGCUAUGUUUUCCUGUCUCAUACAGCGCGAUCGAGCGCCGAACGUGAUCAAAAUAAGCAGAAAAAAAGUAUCGCGGACAUAAUUUAUCAUAACUCUGGUUUUAUUUGGCCUAUCAACACAAUUUAAAAACUGGUAUAUAGGUUGAGGUCCUCACUUUUGAGAUAAGUUGAAACGGAGAGUCAACGAGGCUCCGUCUUGCAGCUACAUCCGGUUAAAUAUGUCAUGUGACUUGAACGCACACACAGACACACACACACGCACACACACACACACACACACACACACACUCAGAGUCUGGUUUUUAGCACCUGCAAAAACAUGCUAUUUACAUAUUUGACAAGAAUGCAGAGGCUCCUUUUGCCCCUGAAAAAAAUCAAAUUUCAAACACAACUUGACUGCUCAUUUCUCCAAAAGACAACCAUGAAGCUCCAUCCAAACCUGAAGCAGGCAGUUGGUGCAUGUGUACAGUAACCUGAGGGGAGUGAGGUGAGUGCUUCUGAGGAGAACAUGAGCAGUGAAGAUUCACCUUGGAGCUAGAACAGAGACAUGCACAUGAUUAUACAGGGGCAGGGGCUCAAGUUUUUUCCAGUCGUUUAUACAAUAUGGAAAUUAAUGUGAAAUUAAAACACAAAGUAUUAAUAGAAAGGUAAUGACUGUCCUGUGUAGGUGACAGUGAUAUCCAAUAGGCUAGGCACUCACGAGGCUGGCUGUGGCAAGUGUAAGUGAAAGCAACACGCACUGGCAGGAAGAACAGCAAACGCCGAUGAAGGAAAAGGGUCUUUGCAGUGAUGGGCGUUACCAGAGAGGGCGAUGGCCAGAGGACACAAAUGGGACGGGGAGGCAGCGCGUUGGGGGGGGGACGCAACACAGCUCGGGCCCGCCAGUGCCCCAACGGGGUCCUAGUGUUAUUAUUAUUUUUCCUCCCCUUUGAACUGGAAAAUGGCCCACUUCCCACUGGCGAAAACUCAUGAAAUUUGGCAGGACGACCGGGCCUGGUGAAAAAUUUGAUAUUCCGAAGUCGCCCAAACAAGAAAAUGCAAAAUGGCUCCAUAGCGCCCCCUAAGGUGAAAAUUCACACUAUUCACUGUCACGCCGGUACGCUUUGUCAAAAUGACACAAAAAUUGACACACA